rnacentral:rRNA from 1 species
GAGCACGUAGGUGGGUUUGUUAGUCAGAUGUGAAAGCCUUUCGUUCAACGGAAGAAUUGCAUCUGAAACUACAAACCUUGAGUAUAGGAGGGGAGAGUGGAACUUCUGGUGGAGCGGUGAAAUGCGUAGAUAUCAGAAGGAACGCCGGCGGCGAAAGCGACUCUCUGGCCUAUAACUGACACUGAGUGUGCGAAAGCUAGGGGAGCAAACGGGAUUAGAUACCCCGGUAGUCCUAGCCGUAAACGAUGGGCACUAAGUAGAGGGGUUUU